GUCAGAGUUGUCGUAACAUUUGAUGUUCAACUAACAGUGUGGCUUAUAAACGUCUUCAACAAACAUCUCUUUUUCCACAUCGAGGACAAAGACUUCCUCCACCUGAAGACAAGAUAUUACAGGUGCGUCUCCCUCCAUGUCAAAUUUAAACGUCACCAUCUUAUUGCUAUGGGUCUCCAACUGGCAUUCCACCAUGUUGUCCCCACUGCCUGACACCUACGUCUCAGAGAAGAAGCCCUCCUUUGAGUCUUUACUUUUUCUGAUUUCCCAUCCGACAUGAGCAAAAUGGCGUUUUCUCCAUUUCCUGGCAAAGACCUGUCGGUGGCGCUGUACUUUAGUUAUUACAUAUUUCAGAAGUCACAAAGACAUUGAAUACAUGAGUACAUAUACAGUAUAUGACAUGUCCUUGAGUUUUAACACGUAAUAUUUUAAUAUUUUAUAUUUAAUAUCAUUUGGAAAAACAACAUAUAUGACACGUUCUCCGAACAUGCAGAGAUCUUUACAAGGAUCAUCUCUGUAUAAUUUAAAAUUGUUAGUUGUAGGUGAAAUGUAAAUUCUAUGGUUCUAUAAUUACUACAUUAUUGAAGUACAAUGAUGAUAACACGAACCUUGGAUGAUGUUUGGUCUUUUCUUGAUUGAUAAUUCAAACAUGGACACACAGACAAUUUGUGCUACACACAUCAUAUUGACAAAGUCCAUAUUAAUGGACAUUAUGGGACAUAAUUAGCAACUUGAAGGCCUUUGGCUUCUAACACACAUCAGUUGCAGAGCAAGAAGCUGGGCUGCAGUUAGGGGGCCAAAUUAGGCCAGGUAAAUCAACUUUUAUUAGUAUUGACAUGUAAAAUAUGUGUGGCGGCCAGAUGAUCAUAAUUGUUAUCACUGCCAAUGUUUUAUUUGCCAGUAUUUUUCAAUAACCUAACAUUGCCCAGUCAUCUUUUUCCAUGUUUUUGCUCAUGUGUGGCAGUGACUGAAGACUGCAAUCAAUAAGCAAGUUUAGAGUGCACCUCAACGUCUCUUGUCUUGUUCGUAAAGCGUGUCAUAUACAGUAAAUGCAGGCAUCACUUGAAACUAAUGUUAAACAAUUCCCCAUGUAAGUUCUUUAUACAUGAUGGACACACGGUGAGACACUUCUGAUAUCAGACAUACCCUGUGGAGGAAGGACGUUCUGUAUUUGACAGGAGUAGACAAUCCUGAGGAAAACAUUUAUGUCAUAAAUACAAACACAAAGAAGCACAAGAAAAAGACACAAACAACAAGCAGCAAUGGAUACAAGUGAAGCUGUAAUUUCAUUUUGGUCAAACAAAGGCAAUGAGAACUACAUGGAUGCUAAACAUUUAUAGUUAUACAUAAGAAUGAAAAAGAUGUUAGUCUGAAUCACAAACGUUUUCCUAUAAUUAGACCGCUUUCUACCAUGUGAGUCAAAUAACAAUGCCUAGAACAGUCAACUCUCUCAAUUCAUUCUUCCUGUACCUGAGAAAUGCCCAGCAGGGAAAUGUCACAGUCUUGCAGCGAGGCUUGGGGCAGUUUGGGGACAUGAGAGUUAAGCAGCUCUAGGGCGGCGGCAGGCGAAGGGGAGGGAGGUAUAAAGUCGGCCUGCCCUGAUAAGGUGACCUGGGCUGCCGGUGAGGAUGUUGGCAGCACUGGCGCAGGGGUAGCAGCAGGCUGGUGGGAUGGCGAUGAUGGGGGAU